CGAUUAGCAUUCCCCCACACACACACCAUCAUUUCUUUUUGUGUCGAUUUCCUGGCUCGGGCGGUGCUGCAUAACGUGGCUGCAGCCCUGCACGCAGCUCUGGCGGGCGCGAAUUCCUUCACAGCAUCAACUUCAUCUACCUCGGCCUCGCUUUGCUGCUCCUCCAUUUCUCUGCACACAGUUUCACCGCCGCUCCUGUGCUUGUACAAAGAUGAACAUCACGAGCUUUACCCUAAAGCGUGCUGAAGCCAACACAAGAACUUCAUUGGGGCUCAGUAAUUUAUUGUUUUAAAACCAGCCUUUGCUAAUGGCUCAUUAGGACAGACAGCCGAUUCGCCUGCUCUGGCCCUUAUGCAUCUUUUUUCUACACCUACGGGGAUGUUUUCAUAAGUGAGAAUCCUUUCCAACGUAAAGAAGCAGCAAUUAGUGCAUUUAUUUAUUUUACUGUAAUUCACACCACAGCACAGGCAGUUUCCCUGCUGGCCAAAGUGCAGAAUAAAUAAACAAAGUCCACUAGAGAUGUCUUAAAUUUCUCCCAUACGAUGGGACAGAAAAUCAAGGCUGCUGCGAAUAGAACCUCUGAUCAUUUGAAACUGUAAGGGCAGAAAUGGAGCCAACAGGGCUGGAAAUUCGUGCAAAGGAGAGGGCUGGAAAGUGAUGCUGACCAAGCUCAGAGCUUGGGAGAAAACCCAGGAGCAGAGAACCACAGCAGAGCCUGCUGCCCAGGGUUGCAUACACCUGCCAAGGACGGACAGAGCCCCUCCAGGACUAAAGCCACAGGAUGGCAAAACUUUGGCUGCAGUAACUCCAACAUGGAGCCUCCAGUGGAGCGGUCUCUUAUGGUCCCAAGAAUUACUUUUGUACUCAGUUUUCUCCCUGAAUUCAACAAAUAUUGACAAGAUACCAGGAAAAGGGAGUUUUUAUCUAGAGUCUUUAUUUUCUGUUUUUUAUCUUUUAUAUUUUUUUCUUCUCUGAAAGAAUCAAAACCAAAUCAGCACUGAGACGGCAACCCCCUUAGUACAGAGAGCCGAGCAGUGCCUGGGGACAGCGUGUACCACUUUCCUGAGGGGCCUCCACUGAAAACCAAUAUAUUGAUUAAAAACUCAGGGCCUUUCCCUUGACUUACAAGAACAAAAAAGCUAACUCCUUUUGUAAAAAGCAGCUCUCAACAUGUCUCAUCUGUUCCCAGCCCUGGAGGACUGCGUGCACCUUUCGAGAGCUGUUCCCGUGCUGUUAUAUUGGGCACUGUGCUGUCCCACCUGUCUUGGAGGCUGUUCCUUGACACCGGGUGAAAUCCUGGGAGCUGUGCACACGAGGAAGGCCCGUGUUAGAGGCUGAACGUGAAGGGAGAUGUGUGGUCCCCAGCUCUGCACAAGAACCGCCAGCUCCUUCAGGGCCAGGAGUCAGGCCAGCCAAGGUGCGGCUGACUGCCUCUCCUUAGGUGAGGCUGUAGGGCAGCCAGCGAGCGUUGCUGGGCACAGAGCUGACAAAACCUCACCCUAAUCCACCCUUAGGUUGGACUCGAUGAUCUUGAGGUCUCUUCCAACCUAGACAAUUCUGUGAUUCUGUGAUUAGGCAGCAAGGAGUGCGUUGGACCUACAUCGACAUUCAGACAAAGACGUUUGGGGAGAUGGGCUCGUACAGCCUCUACAAACAAGCAAGGCUCCAGAAAUGGGAAGAAAUCUCCCUGGUGGGGAACAAAGGCAGAGGUUGGGCUCCGGCCGUGAGGCCCUCAGCACGUUACCACCAGCGGCAGGUGGUCACCACAUGAGCAAGCGAAAACGUGCCUGUGAGCGGAGCGAUGACAGGUCUAUAGUCAUGAGCAAUUUUCUCUACGAUGCACUUAGGCAUCUGCUCCGGAUUAACAUUGUUUUGGUUGAAAUGAGCGUUUUGGAGGCUUUUAAGCAGGUAAGUGGCUGCACCUAAGCAGAAGGAAGAGUCGUUAAUAGGCAGACACGCAGGACUUGAUGAGAGAGGUAACUUGGCCCCAGAGGUAACCAGCAGAGCACAUCGUGGGCUAUGCCAGGGGAUGGGAGGAGCAGCAAUGGCUCAGAUAGCACGGGAUAGGAUCGCUGCAACAAAACGCCAAAUAGUGAGGACUUGGGAGAGCUUUGAAUAACUGAAAUAAAGAGGAUGACAGCUGUUGGCCUACUUCA
rnacentral:lncRNA from 1 species